rnacentral:rRNA from 1 species
UACGUAGGGGGCAAGCGUUGUCCGGAAUCACUGGGCGUAAAGCGCGCGUAGGCGGACCUGCAAGUCGGGGGUGAAAGCCCGAGGCUCAACCUCGGAACUGCCUUCGAUACUGCGGGUCUCGAGUCCGGGAGAGGUGAGUGGAAUUCCUAGUGUAGAGGUGAAAUUCGUAGAUAUUAGGAAGAACACCAGUGGCGAAGGCGGCUCACUGGCCCGGUACUGACGCUGAGGCGCGAAAGCGUGGGGAGCAAACAGG